rnacentral:rRNA from 1 species
UACGUACGAGGCGAGCGUUAUCCGGAAUUAUUGGGCGUAAAGCGCGCGCAGGCGGACGUCUAAGUAGGGCGUGAAAUCUCCCGGCCUAACUGGGAGGGGUCGCCCUAACUGGGCGUCUUGAGGACGGCAGAGGUUGGUGGAAUUCCGUGGUGUAGUGGUGAAAUGCGUAGAGAUCAGGAGGAACACCGGUGGCGAAGGCGGUCUGCUGGGGUAAUGCUGACACUGAUGCGCGACAGCGUGGGGAGCAAACAGG